rnacentral:rRNA from 1 species
UUUCACGUCAGGACGACGCUGGCGGCGUGCCUAAUACAUGCAAGUCGAACGAACUCUGGUAUUGAUUGGUGCUUGCAUCAUGAUUUACAUUUGAGUGAGUGGCGAACUGGUGAGUAACACGUGGGAAACCUGCCCAGAAGCGGGGGAUAACACCUGGAAACAGAUGCUAAUACCGCAUAACAACUUGGACCGCAUGGUCCGAGUUUGAAAGAUGGCUUCGGCUAUCACUUUUGGAUGGUCCCGCGGCGUAUUAGCUAGAUGGUGGGGUAACGGCUUACCAUGGCAAUGAUACGUAGCCGACCUGAGAGGGUAAUCGGCCACAUUGGGACUGAGACACGGCCCAAACUCCUACGGGAGGCAGCAGUAGGGAAUCUUCCACAAUGGACGAAAGUCUGAUGGAGCAACGCCGCGUGAGUGAAGAAGGGUUUCGGCUCGUAAAACUCUGUUGUUAAAGAAGAACAUAUCUGAGAGUAACUGUUCAGGUAUUGACGGUAUUUAACCAGAAAGCCACGGCUAACUACGUGCCAGCAGCCGCGGUAAUACGUAGGUGGGUAGCGUUGUCCGGAUUUAUUGGGCGUAAAGCGAGCGCAGGCGGUUUUUUAAGUCUGAUGUGAAAGCCUUCGGCUCAACCGAAGAAGUGCAUCGGAAACUGGGAAACUUGAGUGCAGAAGAGGACAGUGGAACUCCAUGUGUAGCGGUGAAAUGCGUAGAUAUAUGGAAGAACACCAGUGGCGAAGGCGGCUGUCUGGUCUGUAACUGACGCUGAGGCUCGAAAGUAUGGGUAGCAAACAGGAUUAGAUACCCUGGUAGUCCAUACCGUAAACGAUGAAUGCUAAGUGUUGGAGGGUUUCCGCCCUUCAGUGCUGCAGCUAACGCAUUAAGCAUUCCGCCUGGGGAGUACGGCCGCAAGGCUGAAACUCAAAGGAAUUGACGGGGGCCCGCACAAGCGGUGGAGCAUGUGGUUUAAUUCGAAGCUACGCGAAGAACCUUACCAGGUCUUGACAUACUAUGCAAAUCUAAGAGAUUAGACGUUCCCUUCGGGGACAUGGAUACAGGUGGUGCAUGGUUGUCGUCAGCUCGUGUCGUGAGAUGUUGGGUUAAGUCCCGCAACGAGCGCAACCCUUAUUAUCAGUUGCCAGCAUUAAGUUGGGCACUCUGGUGAGACUGCCGGUGACAAACCGGAGGAAGGUGGGGAUGACGUCAAAUCAUCAUGCCCCUUAUGACCUGGGCUACACACGUGCUACAAUGGAUGGUACAACGAGUUGCGAACUCGCGAGAGUAAGCUAAUCUCUUAAAGCCAUUCUCAGUUCGGAUUGUAGGCUGCAACUCGCCUACAUGAAGUCGGAAUCGCUAGUAAUCGCGGAUCACAUGCCGCGGGUGGGAAUACGUUCCCGGGCCCUUGUACACACCGCCCGUCACACCAUGAGAGUUUGUACACCCAAAGUCGGUGGGGUAACCUUUUAGACAGCGCUAGUGGGACGAUGAUAGGUGAUCGUAAGGCUAAAACGUUGCGGUUUGUGAAACCCGA